CGAAGACAACUAGGAUGUUGGCUCAGAAGCAGCCAUACAUUCAAAGAGUGCGUAACAGCUCACUAGUCGAGAGUUCCUGCGCCGAAAAUGUCCGGGGCUGAAACACGACACCGAAGCCGUGGACUCGCAAUGCGAGUGGUAGAGGAGCAUUCUUAAAACCGACGAAGCUGUACCGGAAGGAGCAGUGGAGGGAUAAGAAGAGAGAAUGCCGGAAUGAGUAGCGAGAGAAAGGUGGGAAUCCUUUCGGCCGAAUAUCUAAGGUUUCCAGAGUAAAGCUGAUCUGCUCUGGGUAAGUCGGGGCCUAAGGCCAGGUCGAAAGACGUAACCGAUGGACAACAGGUUGAAAUUCCUGUACCUUAAGUAAACAGAACUGUGGGGACACGUGUGGAGAGCACAAGCCGGAAAUGGAAAAGCCGGUGCAAGCGAGGUAGGAGUACAGUAGGCAAAUCCGCUGUACAAUCUGAAGACGUGAUGCGGACCGAAUUAAGAGUAGGGAAGUGUGUGAGCCAUGCGUCAAGAAAAGCCGCUAUUGUUUUACUUAAGCCCGUACCGUAAACCGACACAGGUGGAUGAGGAGAGAAUCCUAAGGCCGACGGGAGAAGCAUUGUUAAGGAACUCGGCAAAAUGACUCCGUAACUUCGGGAGAAGGAGUGCCAGCGAGAGCUGGCCGCAGAGAAUUGGCCCAAGCAACUGUUUAGCAAAAACACAGGUCUAUGCAAAACCGUAAGGUGAAGUAUAUGGGCUGACGCCUGCCCGGUGCUGGAAGGUUAAGGGGAGAGGUUAGCGCAAGCGAAGCUUUGAACUUAAGCCCCAGUAAACGGCGGCCGUAACUAUAACGGUCCUAAGGUAGCGAAAUUCCUUGUCGGGUAAGUUCCGACCCGCACGAAAGGCGUAAUGAUUUGGGCACUGUCUCAACAAUGCACCCGGUGAAAUUGAAAUACCAGUGAAGAUGCUGGUUACCUGCGCCAGGACGGAAAGACCCCAUGGAGCUUUACUCCAGCUUGAUACUGGGAUUCGAUAUUGUAUGUACAGGAUAGGUGGGAGGCGAAGAAGCAUUGACGCCAGUUGAUGCGGAGCCGCUGUUGGGAUACCACCCUUGCAGUAUUGGAUUUCUAACCAGCAGCCGUGACCCGGCUGGGGGACAAUGUCAGGUGGGGAGUUUGACUGGGGCGGUCGCCUCCGAAAGGGUAUCGGAGGCGCUCAAAGGUUCCCUCAGAAUGGUUGGAAACCAUUCGAAGAGUGCAAAGGCAGAAGGGAGCUUGACUGCGACACCGACGG
rnacentral:rRNA from 1 species